CAUCCCUAAAGAUAAGAGGAGAUACAACACUGAACAGCAGGUAACAGAACCAAUAGUCCAUGUGAAGACAUGUCAAAAAGCUAUGGAAGGCCACUGCCUGUAUAUAUGAAUUCAUUUUUUAUUAUUCUAGGUUCAGCACUCUUCUAGAGAAGUUGUCUUUCUACUCUCCAAACAAGGAGCUGAAGUUUUAGUGAGAACUUGGCAAACAACUUUCAGAAAGUGAUAGUAGCUGCUUCCUUGGCAGGUACCAACACUAGUGUACUAGGUGUAGCUAAAAUUCUCUUCAAUUUUGGUUGGCUAUAAUUAUUCACCUUCUGUCUAAAGUUGUAUAACUGUACAAUUUUUAUGCAUUUCAACAUGUUUUGAUCAAAGUUUAGCUGCAAUUUGUGGUAAAUAAAUUUAUUUCUAGAAGAGAACAUACAGAAAUUAAUAUCAUGAGGGGAGACACUCAUGAUUUAAGCAGACUAUUCUUGCUUCUAAGCAGAGAGUUCACUGCAUCCCGAGGGAGGCAUUUGGAGAGCAAAUAUAAAUAGUAUCAGCAGUGAGUGGCAGAGGGAAUCAAAGUUUGAACAAUGUUACUUUUUUUUCUCUCUCUCUAAGCAACCUAAAUCAGAUCCGAGUAAAUUAUAAAGCCCCUGGGAAAACCAAUGCAAGAAAUGUGUGCAUUUGCCUACAUAACCCAAUUAGUAGUUUGCCCCAGAUCUCUACAUACAGCAUAUGGGUGACAUUUUGAAACAAAACUACUUUCACUUAAAACAGCAUUAUAUCUUUUAAGUUUCUAUAUAGUGUACACUAUUGUCAAUCUAAAUUCUGUAAAGAGAUGCACACUUAAUGAAGUUCUGAAUGAGGUAUGGAGGUUGAUUUUUAAUGAGAGUGAGGAAGAAGUACAGAAUUCUGUUAAAAAUAGCAACAUACAGUAUUAAUCCAACCAAUCAGCUUCCACUAGAGAAAUACAGCAAUACACUUUUUGUGCAAUAAAUAUAGUUUAAAACAUGUCAAUGUUUUAAAUGUAUUUAAAUCAUAAACUGUAUUUAAAUGUAUUUAAAUCAUGAAUUACUCCUGCUCAGAGAGACAGUUUGCUUCAGCUGUGAACCUAGUUUAAAUAAACCAUACAUUGUAUUAGAGCAAUGUGGUUUUCCAAUCCAGUGAAGUGCAGCAGAGCAAAGCCCUGUGUCUAAAGCAAUUGUCGGAGCACUUCAGAGAAACAGUUUCAACAUCAAAAUUAUUAGAGUAGGUGUUUGGAAGAAGGGAAAAUUAAUUCUGCAAAUGGAUUUAUUAAUCUACCUUGAAAUCAGAACCAGGUGCUAGGGAGAGCAAGAAGGCUUCCAUUUCCAUGGUUUCCGUACCGCCAUCUCCCCUCAAUAUAUUAACUCACAAGAAACAUUAACACUGAGGUAGAUAAUAAAAAGCUGUUGAAUAGAGUGCAACAGAGCUCAAAAACCCUCCUCGGUCAGGGCAUUUUUGAGGCUGCCUUACUCAAGAACAAGUGUUAAAAAAGCUAUACUUUCAAACUAUCUCUAAAUACUAAAAAUUCAACUUCAUAUAUGGUUGUUCUGUAUGCAGAAUGAUAAAAGCAAUUUAAAUAGUAAAAGGCAUCUAGGAAUUAUCAUUUGUUACAUUUCUUACUGAUUUUUUUAUUAUUUACAGGGAAUUAUUUUCAGUUUAGCUGAUAAUGUUCUCUUGACAGUUUUCUUAUCACUGAAAAAAAGCACACACAAGACUACAGGUUUUCAAUUGUGCUCCAGAACAUUACCUUGAUAUACUAGAUAGACAAAGAAUCUCAUCAGCAUUUACCGUUACCAUAUUUAACCCUUUAUUUUUUUAAAAUGUCAAUAACACAAAUUAGGUACACAGAAAAAAAUGGCAGUUUUGGGAAACCAGAUAAGAAAUACUCAUUUUCUACAGAAUUCUAAAACUAGGCAAUCAUUUAUAAGGUGGUAGUGAACUCACCACCUGCUGACAAAAACCUAGGUGAUGCACAAAUUUCCAUGUAAAAUUUGGCCAUUUAGCUGGAACAUAAUAUUGUAUGUAAUGUUUUCAAGUACCACUAGUACUAUAGGUGACAGCAGCAAUACCUUCUAAUUUUCUAAACAAACACCUCCUCAUACACUUUUCUAAUAUACAGUCCCUAUCCUAUCCCCAAAAGAGACUUUAGUUCUAAGUCACUUACCCUCCUAUUAGCUCCCCCUCUUUCUUAACAAAACAUGUUUUUGAGCCCCGUACUCUGCCUUAAUCCUGUGUUAGGAGUGUCAAUUCCCAAUUCUCUUUGCACAUAGGUGGAAGCAGAAGACUCUCCUUCUGUAGGUAACUCUGCAUCACUUUGAAAUGGCUUGUAUACCAUUAGUUUUAAAAGUAUCACAACCUGGAAAACCCUGAGGUAGAAUAUGGCUCUUUUAGAAAAUUAGUUAUAGCACCAUAUAUCCCAUAAGCUAUAACUUUAACACAGACUAUGCACUUUCAGAGGGCUUUUUAUUCAGCAUUCAACCCCAUCCUUCUCUACAUGCUAAGCUGCUUUCACAGUGAAGCUAUAGUUUGCUGAAUAAAAGUCUUUAACAUUCUUUCAAUAAAUGUAAUUCCACAGAGCCCAUCAAGAGCAAUCAGGCUAGGCAUGUAGGAGUGAGUGAUUUAGCAAGCACUAAAAAUAGUAUCUCAUAUUUAACCUAAAGUUCAUAUUACUGUAAACAAAACAAAAAUACCGAAGACUCUUACUUUUCUAUGGGGUAUUCUCUCCUGAAGGAACUAUGAACCGUUUUAAAAUUGACUAACUUGUUAUACAAAGCUUGCUUUACCUAACACUGAGAAGAAAUGCACAUCUUUAACGUGUAAUGGGCCAAACGUUCCUAAUGAAAGCAGGCCUGCGCUACACAACAGUUUAAAGAGAUGGGAAAACAAAUUAUGAAAUUGCCAUGAGAAAUUACAUACAAUAUAACUCUUCAGUUUUGACUUCUGAUAGUCAAAUAUCCUUGCUCUCUUGAAAAGAGUGACUGUUGACUUAAUCCUGUUGACUUCAACACAAGAAAAAGAUAUUCAGUGUUUUAUCUUUUAUACCAGAAAAAGUGCAAGUGGGUCACAAGACUGGAUGUCUAUCUUAGACUAAAGAUGGCCUCUGAUACUCUGUGGUAUAUAUAACCUCUGAUAUAAAUGCACCUUACUGGAAUUGAUUCAGGCCACAUUCUGUAGUAAAACCACCCAGGAAGAGAAUGAAAAGGUAUAAUAUAGAAAACUUUUGAGCUAUUUAAAGUAGUUUACAUAUACUCAAUUUCAAGGAAUAUAAACACCAAUUCUCAUCACUUAAGGCACAGUUCAGAUUUGACAUACCUUCAAACAUUCCCAUUUAUUUCAAUGGAAUUUAUAUAUGUUGCUCAAAAGCAAAAUUUAACCUUCAGUUUUAUCAGAAAUGUUUACUUUUUGUAAGUCAAGGAUGAUAUCCUUCUAGCAGAAAGUUCUCAUUGUGGUUACAGUUUUUACUGACUGAUAUUGUCAUGAACACAGUGUAAAAGCUCUUUAUUCCUUACCUUUACUCAAGCUUAGCAGAAUAAUAUAGCAGAUUUGUGGAGGAGUAUUUCUAUUUAAGAACGUUUUGAGUACAUCUAGCAUCUGAAAUUAUGCCUAACUGGUGAGUUCCUAUAUUUCUGGAAAACAGGAUGAGAAGAUACUGUCCUAACUCAUUAUGCCAAGUUUCCUGUCAUAACAGCCAGUUUUCUGGCUGUUAAGAACUCAUAAAAAUGUAUUUUGAGAGGUUGCCUCCUACCCCCAUCAAUACCUCAAUUACAAGUUGUUGACCCUACUUCUCCAGCAAUUCCAAACCUAAUUCCAUUCCAGAUUGGUUAGUUUAACUCAUUUGUUACUGUGUUUUAAAUACUUUUUCUGAUUGUGUUGGUUAUACUUCCAAACAUGUUCUUCACAGGCAGCAAUUUUAAUAUAAAUUACUUCUCUCCUACAUAUGCACUAUUUUAAAAUUCAGCCUCCUUUGCAGUUUUGCCUUAUAAAGGGUGCAUAAGUUUCAUUAUUUAAAAAUGUAUCAGUAACAGCUUAUGAAACAGAUCAUUCCAACCCAUUCUAAAGCAAAGAAUUUGAAAUAUACUUGCUUUUUAAGAAUAUAAAUCCUACUCUGUUUCUCAUUUUAUUUGCAUUACUGUACAAUUCUGUAUAGAAAAUGUUCCAUUAAAUGGACUAACUGGUACUUCCUACAAAUAAUCUUUUAAUGAUGUUAUAUAAAAAUUCUUAUCACAAGAAAUGAGGAGC